rnacentral:rRNA from 1 species
GCGGGGAAUUUUGGACAAUGGGCGCAAGCCUGAUCCAGCAAUGCCGCGUGCAGGAAGAAGGCCUUCGGGUUGUAAACUGCUUUUGUACGGAACGAAAAGGCUCUGGUUAAUACCUGGGGCUCAUGACGGUACCGUAAGAAUAAGCACCGGCUAACUACGUGCCAGCAGCCGCGGUAAUACGUAGGGUGCGAGCGUUAAUCGGAAUUACUGGGCGUAAAGCGUGCGCAGGCGGUGCUGUAAGACAGGCGUGAAAUCCCCGGGCUCAACCUGGGAAUUGCGCUUGUGACUGCAGUGCUGGAGUGCGGCAGAGGGGGAUGGAAUUCCGCGUGUAGCAGUGAAAUGCGUAGAUAUGCGGAGGAACACCGAUGGCGAAGGCAAUCCCCUGGGCCUGCACUGACGCUCAUGCACGAAAGCGUGGGGAGCAAACAGGAUUAGAAACCCCGGUAGUCC